AUACGGAGGGUGCAAGCGUUGUUCGGAAUCACUGGGCGUAAAGGGCGCGCAGGCGGUUUGGUAAGUCAGAUGUGAAAGCCCACGGCUCAACCGUGGAAGUUCAUUUGAAACUGUCAGACUUGAGUACUAGAGGGUAAAGUGGAAUUCCCGGUGUAGAGGUGAAAUUCAUAGAUAUCGGGAGGAAUACCGGUGGCGAAGGCGACUUUCUGGCUAGAUACUGACGCUGAGGCGCGAAAGCGUGGGUAGCAAACAGGAUUAGAUACCCUAGUAGUCC
rnacentral:rRNA from 1 species